UACGGAGGUGGCAAGCGUUACUCGGAUUUACUGGGUGUAAAGGGUGUGUAGGCGGGCUUGUAAGUCAGGCGUGAAAUCCCUUGGCUCAACCAAGGAAUGGCGCUUGAAACUGCUUGUCUUGAGUGCGGGAGAGGAGAACGGAAUUCCCGGUGUAAGGGUGAAAUCUGUAGAGAUCGGGAGGAACACCAGUGGCGAAAGCGGUUCUCUGGUCCGCAACUGACGCUGAAACACGAAAGCUUGGGGAG
rnacentral:rRNA from 1 species